UGUCAAAUACGAGCAGGCGAGCCUUCUG
rnacentral:sRNA from 1 species